rnacentral:lncRNA from 1 species
CGGGACAGCCCCCUCCCUGCGGCCUCGCCCUGGAGUCUCGGCACCGUCUGGCCCCGCCGGCUGAUUACAGCCAGAGAUCGAGGGGGACCUCGCUGUCCCCCUAGAGGCCGUCAUGCGGGGUUACAGAGGCUGCGACCAAAGUCAUUCCUAGCUCCUCUCUCGGGGCUCCGGAAAGCCGUCCGCGCCUCCAGCCGCACUUUCAGCGCACGCAGGACCUGCCGCGCCCGGUGGCCACACCCGUCCCUCUGCCGGGUGACGCUGCGGGAGAUCUUGCGCCCUGGGGCUCCGGAUCCAGUUCUGACAGAGAAACGGAGGCACAGAGAAGGAAGCGGCAGUUAAAGCUGCGAAGAACCUAACAAAUUUCAAGAUUGUAAGUGCCUUUUCCCAGGAUGCCAGCAAGUACUGAGCCUGUAUUUUGAGCUGCAUCAAACCCUGUUGGAAUAAAAAAGGACAUUUC